CUCACCCAGGUUGUCCAGCCCCCCGUAGGUGACGGGGGUCCCGCUCAGGUCGAUGCCCACCACGGGCAGGUGCCGCAGCCGGGACAGCUCCGAGCGGCUCCCGGGGCGGAUCCAGCGCUGCUGCCCCAAAAACCUGCGGGGUCAACCUGGGGUCACACCCAAAAAACCUGCGGGGUCAACCUGGGGUCAGGACCCCAAAAACCUGUGGGGUCACACCCAAAAACCUGAGGGGUCACCUGGGGUCAGGACCCCAAAAACCUGCGGGGUCACAUCCAAAACCUGCGGCGUCAACCUGGGGUCAGGACCCCAAAAUCCUGCGGGGUCAACCUGGGGUCAGGACCCCAAAAACCUGAGGGGUCAACCUGGGGUCAGGACCCUAAAAACCUGUGGGGUUACACCCCAAAAACCUCGGGGUCACCCGGGGUCAGGACCCCAAAAACCUGUGGGGUCACACCCCAAACCUGCGGGGUUACACCCCACAACCUGUGGGGUCACCUGGGGUCAGAACCCCAAAAACCUGCGGGGUUACACCCCAAAAACCUGUGGGGUCAACCUGGGGUCAGGACCCCAAAAUCCUGCGGGGUCACCUGGGGUCAGGACCCCAAAAUCCUGCGGGGUCAACCUGGGGUCAGGACCCCAAAAACCUGUGGGGUCACCUGGGGUCACACCCCAAAAACCUGCGGGGUUACACCCAAAACCUGUGGGGUCACACCCCAAAAUCCUGCGGGGUCAACCUGGGGUCAGGACCCCAAAACCUGCGGGGUUACACCCAAAACCUGUGGGGUUACACCCAAAAACCUGCGGGGUCAACCUGGGGUCAGACCCCAAAUCCUGCGGGGUCACCUGGGGUCAGGACCCCAAAAACCUGCGGGGUCACACCCCAAAAACCUGUGGGGUCAACCUGGGGUCAGGACCCCAAAAACCUGUGGGGUUACGCCCAAAAACCUGCGGGGUUACACCCAAAAAUCUGUGUGGUCAACCUGGGGUCAGGACCCCAAAACCUGCGGGGUUACACCCCAAAAACCUGCGGGGUCAACCUGGGGUCAGGACCCCAAAAACCUGUGGGGUCAACCUGGGGUCAGGACCCCAAAAACCUGCGGGGUUACACCCCAAACCUGCAGGGUUACACCCAAAAACCUGCGGGGUCAACCUGGGUUCAGGACCCCAAAAUCCUGUGGGGUCACACCCC
rnacentral:lncRNA from 1 species